rnacentral:rRNA from 1 species
UGGGGAAUAUUGGACAAUGGGCGCAAGCCUGAUCCAGCCAUGCCGCGUGAGUGACGAAGGUCUUCGGAUUGUAAAGCUCUUUUUGGCGGGGACGAUAAUGACGGUACCCGCAGAAUAAGCCCCGGCUAACUUCGUGCCAGCAGCCGCGGUAAUACGAAGGGGGCUAGCGUUGUUCGGAAUUACUGGGCGUAAAGCGCACGUAGGCGGACUGAUAAGUCAGGGGUGAAAUCCUGGGGCUCAACCCCCAGAACUGCCUUUGAUACUGGCUGUCUCGAGGUCGAGAGAGGUGAGUGGAAUUCCUAGUGUAGAGGUGAAAUUCGUAGAUAUUAGGAAGAACACCGGUGGCGAAGGCGGCUCACUGGCUCGAUACUGACACUGAGGUGCGAAAGCGUGGGGAGCAAACAGGAUUAGAUACCCCCGUAGUCCCUGAGCGGGCUGGCAAGGCGCAU